rnacentral:rRNA from 1 species
UACGUAGGUGGCAAGCGUUAUCCGGAUUUAUUGGGCGUAAAGGGAACGCAGGCGGUCUUUUAAGUCUGAUGUGAAAGCCUUCGGCUUAACCGGAGUAGUGCAUUGGAAACUGGGAGACUUGAGUGCAGAAGAGGAGAGUGGAACUCCAUGUGUAGCGGUGAAAUGCGUAGAUAUAUGGAAGAACACCAGUGGCGAAAGCGGCUCUCUGGUCUGUAACUGACGCUGAGGGUCGAAAGCGUGGGUGGCAAACAGG